CUAGUGUAGGGAUAUAAACGCAUGCUCAUUCUUGUCAACAUAAAUUAGAAAGUUUACUUUUGAAAGAUAAGGGCAGCAGCUAAUUUAUAUAGCUGCAUCGUGAAUUUAAGGGUGAUAUGGGCAGAAACGUACUAGCACAUUCAGUAUUUGGAAGUUUAAGCAACAACGUUAUUCGUUUUUUUUUUUGGGUUUUGCACAUCGCUUCAAUCUCGUUGUUCCGUCUUAUCGUGUUGUUGAAUUCGGGCUUUCUUCGAAGUGAAGUAAGGAGGAAGAAGAUUAUUUCUUGGCAUAUAAGGCUAAAAGAGCGACGAGGCGAAAAGAAAUCACGAAUAGUCGCCGACAGGUACAGAUAGCCGGUUGGUGACCCAUCAGCAUAGGACUUCUACUCAGCUGUAUUGGAGUGCUCCGUUGUUCCGGAGCCUAGACGUUUGGUACAAAUCUUUGAUAUAUGUAUAUGUUUAUACAGGGGUACGGCGGGGCCCUGUCCCGUCAUAUGUCUUCGUCAUUACUCUUAGAGGUUUGUAGACAUAUGUGUGGGUUGUAUAUAGACGUUGAUCAGCUGUGUUAGCAUGAUUUAUGUUUUGGGACGUUCCCAUUCGUAGUGGCAGCCUUGUCGGCUUGCGUAUAUGUAUAUUUUGGGAUGUUGUGUGUAGUGGCAGCCUUGUCGGCUUGCGUAUAUAUAGUUGGGGCGUUCUCACACGUUAUGACAGCCUUGUCGGCUUGUGUUCAACGUUAUCUAUUGAUGUUGUCACUCCUCAGGAGGAAGGUUGCGUUGAUAUAUAAAUAUGUGACAGUU